rnacentral:rRNA from 1 species
AGUUCGGAUUGUAGUCUGCAACUCGACUACAUGAAGCUGGAAUCGCUAGUAAUCGCAGAUCAGAAUGCUGCGGUGAAUACGUUCCCGGGUCUUGUACACACCGCCCGUCACACCAUGGGAGUCGGAAAUGCCCGAAGCCGGUGACCAAACCAAUAAGGAAGGAGCCGUCGAAGGCAGGUCUGAUAGCUGGGGUGAAGUCGUAACAAGGUAAC